CUAAAUACUACCCAGUGACCGAUAGCGUAUAGUACUGUGAAGGAAAGGUGAAAAGCACCCCGGGAGGGGAGUGAAAAAGAACCUGAAACCCUGUGCCUACAAGCACCUAGAGCACGUCAAUGUGUGAUAGGGUACUUUUUGUAGAACGGUCCGGCGAGCGAUUGUAUGCAGCAAGGUUAAGGACUUAAGGUCUGGAGCCGAAGCGAAAGCGAGUUUGAAAAGGGCGUUAAGUUGCAUAUAAUGGGCCCGAAACCGGGUGACCUACCCAUGGUCAGGUUGAAGUGGAAGUAAAAUUCCAUGGAGGACCGAACCGACCUCCGUUGAAAAGGCGGCGGAUGAACUGUGGGUAGCGGAGAAAUUCCAAUCGAACCCGGAGAUAGCUGGUUCUCCCCGAAAUAGUUUUAGGACUAGCCUCAAGUUAGAUACCUGGAGGUAAAGCACUGAAUAGCCUAGCGGCCGAGAGGUUAGCGAAGCUUAUCAAACUCAGAAUGCCAGAGUAUUGAUGCUUGGGAGUCAGACAGUGUCAGAUAAAUGUCAUUGUCAAAAGGGAAACAGCCCAGAUCUACAGCUAAGGUCCCAAAGUCAGGUUAAGUGGAAAACGAUGUGAAGAUACGCAGACAACCAGGAUGUUGGCUCAGAAGCAGCCACUCAUUCAAAGAGUGCGUAAUAGCUCACUGGUCGAGCGUCUUUGCGCGGAGAAUUUAACGGGGCUAAACCUGACACCGAAGCUUAGGCAAUGUAGUAAUACAUUGGGUAGGGGAGCGUUGUAUACGCGGUGAAACAGUAGCGCAAGCGGCUGUGGAGUGUAUAGAAGUGAGAAUGCCGGAAUGAGUAGCGCGAAUGCAGUGAGAAUCUGCAUGGCCGAAAGCCUCAGGUUUCUGGAGGAAGGUUCGUCCGCUCCAGGUUAGUCGGGAGCUAAGGUGAGGCCUAACGGCGUAGCCGAUGCACAGACGGUAGAGAUUCCGUCACCACCAAAAGAGUUAAGCACAGGGACACAUAUGAAGUCUCAGAGCCGGGUGUUGGUUCCGGUAGAGAUCGAGGGAAAUUAGUACCGAAGUCUGAGAUGGAAGAUGGCGAGAAAAGCUGUGUGUAUUUCUGAGGUGCCCGUACCGCAAACCGACACAGGUAGGUAGGAAGAAGAUUCUAAGGCCAACGGGAGAAGGGUUGUUAAGGAACUCGGCAAAUUGACCCCGUAACUUCGGGAGAAGGGGUGCUCCAGAGAUGGAGCCGCAGAGAAUCGGCCCAAGCAACUGUUUACCAAAAACACAGGUUUGUGCUAAAUCGAAAGAUGACGUAUACGAGCUGACGCCUGCCCGGUGCUGGAAGGUUAAGAGGAGAUGUGCAAGCAUUGAAUCGAAGCCCCAGUGAACGGCGGCCGUAACUAUAACGGUCCUAAGGUAGCGAAAUUCCUUGUCAGGUA
rnacentral:rRNA from 1 species